GCGACCAGUGGAUAUGUUUUGCCUUUGAUAUGAAUAGCAAGCAAGUUUCAAUCUUCUACCCUGGCAAGCCCCUUGCUGCUCAACGCUGUUUUGUUGGCCAAUGGUACGUUCACGUUCAAAAGAUGCUCAUCGGACUUAGUCUUGCUUAUGGGCCGCAUGUUUAGAGUCGCGCUUCGCCGCUUGUUCAGUGGAAAACAGAUUAUUACCGCUGGAAUGGUCGCAUUACCGGAAAGUGGUUCCAUGGUUUCUUAGUUGCCGUUUUUGCAUUGAUUUUUGAUGGUGUGCUUGGAGAAACUCAGGACCCUGUAAUGAAUCCGGAGUACUCGGUCAAGUGGACCUUGUGUCACCUCCUUCUUGAUAGGCCGAUGAACCCACUGCGUCCCGAAGCCUGGUUCAAAACCAGGCCAUAGCUACCUGGGUACCCGGAGGCCCAUUAACACUUUUGGAUAUGCGACUGAGCUUUUGUGAUUAGGCCCACCUGAUUUUCUUUUGUAGUCCCUUAUUCGACCCCAUGCUGCGGGCCUAGUCAAUCCUAUGUAUAGUUAUCUAGUUCAACAUUUUCAUCAGGUACCCUGCUAACGAAGUGUUGGACGAGCCCCUAAUAUGUCCUUGUCCCUGAUAAUAGAUUGCUUAAAACUUUGUGCUUG